CGCCCUAAUCAUGCAAUCCUCCGUCCCAGACACAAAUCUCUCCGGCCAUAUCCCUCCUUCCGUCGGUGACCUCCCUUAUCUCCAGAAUCUCGAAUUCCACAAACUUCCUAGACUCACAGGCCCAAUCCAACCCACCAUAGCCAAGCUCAAAAACCUCAAAUAUCUUUUCAUCGAAUACACCAAUGUCUCAGGCUCCAUACCCUCUUUCUUGUCUCAACUCAAAAACCUCCAGCUUCUUCAUCUUUCCACCAACAAUCUCACCGGCUCUAUCCCCAGUUCACUCUCCCAGUUACCUAACCUAGAGUCCUUACACUUAGACAGAAACAAGCUCACAGGCCCAAUUCCAGAAUCGUUCGGUUCAUUCAAAAAGCCCGGGCCGGAUAUCAUCCUAUCUCACAACC
rnacentral:lncRNA from 1 species